GAGAGUUAAACAGUACGUGAAAUUGUUGAAAGGGAAACGAUUAAAGUCAGUCGUACCUACGAGUAAUCAACCUACACGAGCGCGAUUUUGUGGGUAUGAAGAGGUAAAAACCUUCAUGUUUGCUAAUUGGUGUUCUUUGGGCGUACUUUCUCGUAUGGUUGGUUAACAUCAAUUUCGAUCGUUAUAAAAUGACGGGAGGAAUGUAGCUUCGACUUCGGUUGAAGUGUUAUAGCCUCUGGUAGAUGUAAUGAUUGGGAUUGAGGAUUGCAACGGAUACCCUCUGGGCUAUUCGUCUGAUCUCUGGAAGUUACCUUGGUGUCGAAAGCGUGCUUAUGACAUUAAGAAUGACGGCCAAAAGGUUAGAACGGAAUUAAAUUCGUUAAGGAUGUUGACGUAAUGGCUUUAAACGA
rnacentral:rRNA from 1 species